ensembl:lncRNA
AUGUAUAUGUAUUUAUAUGUAUCUUUGUAUGUAUAUAUUUAUGUAUGUGUAUAUGUAUGUACAGUGUGUAUGUGUAUGUAUGUAAACUCAGCAACAACAAAAAAAUGUCCUCGCACUGUCAACUGCGUUUAUUUUCAGCAAAUUUAAUAUGUGUAAAUAUUUGUAUGAACAUAACAAGAUUCAACAACUGAGACAUAAACUGAACAAGUUCCACAGACGUGACUAACAUAAAUUGAAUGUGUCCCUGAGCAAAGAGUGGGUCAAAAUCAAAAGUAACAGUCAGUAUCUGGUGUGGCCAUCAGCUGCAUUAAGUACUGCAGUGCAUCUCCUCCUCAUGGACUGCACCAGGUUUGCCAGUUAUUGCUGUGAGAUGUUACCCCACUCUUCCACCAAGGCACCUGCAAGUUCCCAAACCUUUCUAGGGGGAAUGGCCCUAGCCCGCACCCUCCGAUCCAACAGGUCCCAGACGUGCUCAAUGGGAUUGAGUUAUGGGCUCUUUGCUGGCCAUGGCAGAACACUAACAUUCCUGUCUUGCAGAAAAUCAUGCACAGAACGAGCAGUAUGGCUGGUGGCAUUGUCAUGCUGGAAGGUCAAGUCUGGAUGAACAUUGAGAUUGCCUGCAAUGACAACAAGGUCAGUCCGAUGAUGCUGUGACACACCGCCCCAGACCAUGACGGACCCUUUACAUCCAAAUCAAUCCCGCUCCAGAGUACAGGUCUCGUUGUAACGUUCAUUCCUUCGACGAUAAAUGCGAAUCCGACCAUCACCCCUGGUGAGACAAAACCGCGACUCGUCAAUGAAGAGCAUUUUUUGCCAGUCCUGUCUGGUCCAGCGACGGUGGGUUUGUGCCCAUAGACGACGUUGUUGCCGGUGAUGUCUGGUGAGGACCUGCCUUACAACAAGCCUACAAGCCCUCAGUCCAGCCUCUCUCAGCCUAUUGCGGACAGUCUGAGCACUGAUGGAGGGAUUGUGCGUUCCUGGUGUAACUCGGGCAGUUGUUGUUGCCAUCCUGUACCUGUCCCGCAGGUGUGAUGUUCGGAUGUACCGAUCCUGUGCAGGUGUUGUUACACGUGGUCUGCCACUGCGAGGACGAUGAGCUGUCCGUCCUGUCUCCCUGUAGCGCUGUCUUAGGCAUCUCACAGUACGGACAUCUGCAGUCCUCAUGCCUCCUUACAGCAUGCCUUAGGCAUGUUCACGCAGAAGAGCAGGGACCCUGGGCCUCUUUCUUUUGGUGUUUUUCGGAGUCAGUAGAAAGGCCUCUUUAGUGUCCUAAGUUUUCAUAAAUGUGACCUUAAUUGCCUACCGUCUGUAAGCUGUUAGUGUCUUAAGGACCGUUCCACAUGUUCAUUAAUUGUUUAUGGUUCACUGAACAAGCAUGGGAAACAGUGUUUAAACCCUUUACAUUGAAGAUCUGUGAAGUUAUUUGGAUUUUUACGAAUUAUCUUUGAAUGACAGGGUCCUAAAAAAGGGACGUUUCUUUUUUUGCUGAGUUUAUAUGUGCAUAUAUAUUUGCAAAAAAAUAUAUGGGGAUUGGAAGUGAUGCAGACAAUUACAUUGAUGGAAGCUACAUUCUAUCUGCAAUAUUAAAGCUGAUCUACCCCCUUAUAAUUUAUAGUUUUGACAACUUUUACUUAUCUACAUUUCUUUCAAAAAAUUAUAUCUUGAGUGUUGGAGUGUGCCCCUGGCUCUCCGUAAAUUUAAAAAACUUUAUUGUGCCGUUUGCUUAAUAUAAGCAAUUUGAAAUUAUUCAUGCUUUUUUUGAUAGUUAAGUAUAUUUUUGCAAUUAAAUUUACUUUUGAUACUUAAUUAAGUAUAUUUGAAACUAAAAAAUGGUUUACUUUUACUCAAGUAGUAUUUUACCAGGUGACUUUUACUUGUCAUUUUCUAUUAAGGUAUCUUUACUUUACUUUACUCAAGUAUGACAAUUGAGUAUUUUUCCACCACUGCAUGUAUGCAUCACACACAUGAUGAUAUUACUCACUAUCCUUAAUCACAUUAUCUGUUGCUUAGCGACUAGCACAAACUUAGUGUCUGGAAGUAAUGUGGAAAGUCUUUCAUUCCCAAACUAAGUCAAAGAUAUGAUUAUUAAAAGAUAAAAAUAGCCUGCCGAAGACUUCUCGCAAUAUCUCUGCAUUCAGAGAGGGGUGAGUAAGGGAGAGAAGAGGGAGAGAGGGUGAGGGAGAAAAAGAGAACAACAGAGAGAGCGAGGGGGAAGAGAGGAAGAAAGAGUGAGGGAGGGAGGAAGACAGCUAGGGAGGGAGGGGAAAUGAGACAACGAGAGAGGAAAAUAUCUCAGUUUUACUGUCUCUGUGAGGUUUGAUAAUUACUGUCUCCGUGAGAUUUGAUAAUUACUGUCUCCGUGAGGUUUGAUAAUUACUGUCUCCGUGAGGUUUGAUAAUUACUGUCUCCGUGAGGUUUGAUAAUUACUGUCUCUGUGAGGUUUGAUAAUUACUGUCUCUGUGAGGUUUGAUAAUUACUGUCUCCGUGAGGUUUGAUAAUUACUGUCUCCGUGAGGUUUGAUAAUUACUGUCUCCGUGAGAUUUGAUAAUUACUCUCUCCGUGAGGUUUGAUAAUUACUGUCUCCGUGAGGUUUGAUAAUUACUGUCUCCGUGAGGUUUGAUAAUUACUCUCUCUGUGAGGUUUGAUAAUUACUGUCUCCGUGAGGUUUGAUAAUUUGAUGUGGAGUUUUUGGAAGGCCAAUCCACGUGCAUCCUCUUAAAUGUAGAGGCAACAUCAGCAGCCUCCACAGUUUGGACCACUUCCUAUCUGUGGGACUGGGAUGGACUGCUCUGACCAUGGACCACUUCCUAUCUGUGGGACUGGGAUGGGCUGCUAUGGCCAUGGACCACUUCCUAUCUGUGGGACUGGGAUGGACUGCUAUGGCCAUGGACCACUUCCUAUCUGUGGGACUGGGAUGGGCUGCUAUGACCAUGGACCACUUCCUAUCUGUGGGACUGGGAUGGGCUGCUAUGAACAUGGACCACUUCCUAUCUGUGGGACUGGGAUGGGCUGCUAUGGCCAUGGCUCAUAACUCUACUAAGGUGCCAUUAUAAUUAGCCUACUGUUCACUCCUGAUUAGUGCACAUGGGAUAACACAAUCUUUGUGCAAGUGCAUCAGUCCCAAUUUAGAUAUCAACAGCGGAUUUGGUAUAUCUGCGCCUGAUACCUAUAUAAUAGUUAUAAACUAUUGCAGAUAGUAAAAGUCAACUGUACCCUCAGUGACCUGACAACCAGAUACAAUUCGCUGUACUGCCCAAAAAAAGGCACAUUUGCAUUUGUUUAUGGACAAACCGUAGUGAACUGUAAAUGGUUGUUUGUUUUUUGGGCAGAGUCUGUUGGCAGCCGCCAAACUGGAGGUGCACACCAAUACUCUGACAUCAAACGACAUUAACCCUCACAUCUCCGCAGUUCUCAUUUGUUCAAUGUUUUCUGUAUACACAGUAUACAGUAUACACACUGUGGCAACAUGUUCCAAUCAGUCAGGUUUAACCGUCUUUAUUCAAAGUAGAUGCAAUAGCAAAGAUAAUAUAGAUAUAUUUUUUAAACGAAAUCUAAGCAGCCUAAUACUACAUUACAUUGCCUGAAUGUUGUCAAUUGGUUAUUUUAAUCAUGUUAAUUAAGAGAUAUAAACUAGAAAUGUUUGUUUCAUAUUAACUUACAAUAUGUCCAUGCUCAUCUAUUCAAAACCUGGAUCACUCUUUCGAAUAAAGUCAAAUCAAAGCUCAUGAAUAAAGCAUUUUUAAAAUUAUUUACAAACAAUACAAACCCUGAUUAUCUGACUCGACUGGCCUGUUAGAAACCCAGGGUCUGUAGAUGUGUGCCAGGCUCUGUAGGAAUAUGUCUGAUAUUUAGUUGACUUGAUUACACAGGAGAACAACCGAAUAUCAAAC